rnacentral:rRNA from 1 species
CGCAUGGUAGAAAUACCAAAGAUUUAUCGCUGUAAGAUGGACUCGCGCCUGAUUAGCUAGUUGGCGGGGUAACGGCCCACCAAGGCGACGAUCAGUAGCCGGACUGAGAGGUUGAACGGCCACAUUGGGACUGAGAUACGGCCCAGACUCCUACGGGAGGCAGCAGUGGGGAAUAUUGGGCAAUGGGGGAAACCCUGACCCAGCAACGCCGCGUGAAGGAAGAAGGCUUUCGGGUUGUAAACUUCUUUGACGAGGGACGAAGAACGUGACGGUACCUCGAAAACAAGCCACGGCUAACUACGUG